rnacentral:rRNA from 1 species
UACGGAGGAUGCGAGCGUUAUCCGGAUUUAUUGGGUUUAAAGGGUGCGUAGGCGGCCUUUUAAGUCAGCGGUGAAAGUCUGUGGCUCAACCAUAGAAUUGCCGUUGAAACUGGGGGGCUUGAGUAUGUUUGAGGCAGGCGGAAUGCGUGGUGUAGCGGUGAAAUGCGUAGAUAUUAGGAAGAACACCGGUGGCGAAGGCGACUUUCUGGACUGUACCUGACGCUGAGGCGCGAAAGCGUGGGUAGCGAACGGG